rnacentral:rRNA from 1 species
UAGGGAAUCUUCCGCAAUGGACGCAAGUCUGACGGAGCAACGCCGCGUGAGUGAAGAAGGUUUUCGGAUCGUAAAACUCUGUUGUUAGAGAAGAACAAGUGCUAGAGUAACUGUUAGCGCCUUGACGGUAUCUAACCAGAAAGCCACGGCUAACUACGUGCCAGCAGCCGCGGUAAUACGUAGGUGGCAAGCGUUGUCCGGAUUUAUUGGGCGUAAAGCGAGCGCAGGCGGUUCCUUAAGUCUGACGUGAAAGCCCCCGGCUCAACCGGGGAGGGUCAUUGGAAACUGGGGAACUUGAGUGCAGAAGAGGAGAGUGGAAUUCCAUGUGUAGCGGUGAAAUGCGUAGAUAUAUGGAGGAACACCAGUGGCGAAGGCGACUCUCUGGUCUGUAACUGACGCUGAGGCUCGAAAGCGUGGGUAGCAAACAGGAUUAGAUACCCUGGUAGUCCACGCCGUAAACGAUGAGUGCUAAGUGUUGGAGGGUUUCCGCCCUUCAGUGCUGUAGUUAACGCAUUAAGCACUCCGCCUGGGGAGUACGACCGCAAGGUUG